AGAAAUGGCUGAGAUGCGAGAAGAAGACUCUGUUGGAAUGCUACUACUCAAGUAACAAUAGUCAGAGGGGUUACAUGCAAAGAAUGUGUGGUGAAUGGAAACGGAGAAACCUACAUUGAAGGCUGACGGCGAAGCAACUAGUAGCUCAGUGUUCCAACAUCCACAAACGUCAACUGCUAUCACAACUUGAGAUUGACGAGGUACAACACAAAUGCUAUGGCAAGGGGGAGCCAGGACGCCAGGACAGAGCGGAGAUUUUAUCAUCUGCCCAACCGGAAAUUGGGUAAGAAGCCCCAAUGAGCACAGACACGCUGAGCAAGGCAGCGUCUGACCUGAAAGAUAGGGUAAUAGCGAGAUUGAGCAGGCAACCCCGAAGACAACUACGGCUAAGAGAAGUACCAUCAGAAAGUCUCAUGGAAGAUGUGAUUGUAGCAUUGAGAGCGAUCCCUACCACAACAACCAGAGAAACCAAUAAGCUCAGCAUCAGUGAUCCUAGAGGUGCUUGGCUAUAAGAGCAACCAUGGGAGCCAUGAGAAACAAUACCCACAAUGGAAACAAAGGUUGGAUGCAAAAAUCAAGGCAGCUCGGAGGGAAGUGAGCCAAAUGACAAAGGCCCAGAGAGGUGCAAUAAAAAGGCUGAUGCCCAAGAAGUACAGCCAGAUGCCCAUACCUGAAGCACUCGAAACUGCCAAGCAAAGGCUACAAGCCUUAGCCAGCCGCCUAAAGAGAUACACCAGAGAUAACGAAGCCAGACGAGUAAACCGGUAACAGAUUAUUUCUAGCCUUAUACAUAAAUGGACGAAGCCUCUCGGCUCUCUAGUAACAUGGCCAUGUUGCUUAGCUUCCCCACUCCGUAACAACCCAGAGUGGAGCCCAGGACGCAGAGUCGCAGUCUUACACACCUCUCGGCCUGUUCUCUACAGCCGCCACCCACUCUUAGCCUUAGUUAUCGCAUAGAGACUGUGUCUGCUCCCCGACCACCUAAAGUCUCUUUUUGAAUUUAGCAUAAUUGACCUCACAAUAGCUGGAAAGAAAUGUUACAAUAGCAGAUGUUUAUCUGACAACGCUGUUGCCAGAUUCAAGCAGAUGAUUCCAUCAUCUUUUGCCUCAAUGUCUUGUAGAUACACAGAGAACAGUCACCUUAAUCCUUAUGAACAGGUUGACUGUCUUGUAGAUGAUGCUGCAGCUUCUCUACGUACAAUGUUAAACACAAUGGCUCCUCUGAAGAAGAAGACAGUGAAUCAGAGGAGGUUAGCUCCGUGGUAUAACUCAGAUUUGCAGCCUAAAGCACAGGACCAGACAACUAGAAAGACAGUGGCGUUCCAACAAAAUAAAUGUAAACUGCAUUGCAUGAAAGGACAGUCUAAUGAAAUAUAAAAAAGCACUUUGUGCUGCUAGAAAAACAUAUUAUUCCCCCCUAAUUGAGGAAAACAUAAACAACCCCAGGUUUCUUUUCAGCACUGUAGCCAGGCUGACUAAGAGUCAUAGCUGUGUUGAGUAUACUAUCCCCUUAAAUCUCAGCAGCAAUGACUUUAUGAACUACUUUACUAAUAAAAUUAUCACCAUUAGAAAAAACGUUCAGCAGCGAAUUCUUCCAAAUGACAGAAAGCACUGUUUAGAUCCAUCAACUUUAAAUAUACUAAAUCCUCUGUCUUACCUAGACAGCUUCUUCCCCAUAACUCAUAUGGAGUUACCCUCCAUAAUCAACUCUUCCAAGUCGUCCACUUGUCUUUAAGAUCCAAUCCCAACUAGAUUACUCAAAGAAGUUCUACCUUUAAUCAGCUCGUCCAUAUUAAAUCAAAUCAACCAAUCUUUACAUUUAGGCUAUGUACCACAGGCUUUUAAGGUGACUGUGGUCAAACCUCUAUUGAAAAAACCAACCCUGGACCCUGGACAACUAGCCAACUAUAGGCUCCCGAGUGGGAAUAACUUGUACCAAGAUUUUCAGUCAGGAUUUAGAAAACAUCAUAGCACAGAAACAGCUCUGGUUAGAGUCACUAAUGAUCUUCUAUUAGCUUCGGACAAUGGUCUAUUUUCUGUCCUUGUCCUCUUAGAUCUUAGUGCUGCAUUUGAUACAAUUGAUCAUACCAUUCUAUUACAGACGCUAGAACAUAGAAUUGGGAUUAAAGGUGCCUGCACAUGCAAAAUUUACUUUUUGGGUAUUCUGGUACGUUUAUUUGACUCCCUGGGUCACGUUAAGACACUCCUGGUGUGUUAGAAGUACGCCCCCUACUCAUUUCACAUUUUUGAGAGUUUACCCAAUCCGGUUCGCUUCGCAUCGUUUUAAAUUUGGCGGACUGGAUACGUCUGCAUUCGCUUUGACCAAUCACAGAACCAGCCCCCCCCCAGACAAACCUGGACCCCUAAAUGUACCUGAAACAUUUCAUUUCAGUCACUCCAGUCACAGACAAAAGAAGAGAAGUCACUCACUGCGCAGUCUACCAUAGGAGGUGGCGCUAAUGCACCUUUCAGGUGGUUGCCACCAUUUUUUAAAUGGCGGGUAAGUACAUGCUUGAUUCCUAUUUGAUGUAUGUACUCCAGAAUUUUCUCUGUUUAUAAUGUAGCUUCCCUCCUGUGUAAGGAAUGCUAAUUGCUAGAACCGUUGAAUCUAACAGCUACAGCGACAGAGAGAGACAGUGUUGCAAGGUGCUGACACGCAAUUUGGAUGAGUCCAAGCCCCUCCAGCAUUUGUCCUGUUCGAAUCGUGUGAUAUAUAGUACUCAUUUACUCAGCUCACAUUGUAGCUGCUAGCGCGAUGGUAGCACAGCGUUAGCGGCUAGCCUUAGCAGCUAGCGCUAGUAAGUUGUGAGAGUCAGCUGUGUUUCUAAUUACUACCGAGCCUGUCGUGUGUAUGUUGUAGCCCGAGUAGACCCGUGAAUUUGGGUUAUUGCAAGUUCUAUCUAAGUCUAACAUGUGUGUUGUUGCUUAUCUAGUCAGCUACUUUAGCUGUAAAUGUGACGUGUUUUUUUUAUACAGGCUGACGCAUGCCAGCUACCGAAACGCGAGGAGGUUGCUUCGCAAACUGACACCACUGCAGGCUGUGGACACGCGGCUACCUUGUAGAAGAGUUGUUGCUCACCUCAGGAGCAAAGGUAUGUACAUUUAACAGCAGUAUAAUCAUUUGUUGGCCAAUAUGCAGUUUUAUUUGACAGAGAUUUUGCAUUUCACAUUUCAGUAGUUGUGUUAUUCAUAAUCUGAUCUAUAUUAUUGUCUAUGUAUUUACUCUGUAUGAAGUUGGUCAACUUAUUUUGAUAUUUUAGUCUGUUGACGGGUAAUUUGUAACUCUAGUGUUAUGGUGCAGAUUAAGUGGAAAAUGUGAUGGAGACCAUCUUCAAUAAAGUCCUGCUGGAAUCAGGUUGUUCUAUGGAGGACCUUGUAAACAUCCCUGUCCCACCGGCCCUCUGAGCAGAAUUUGAGCAACCUGACAGAAAGGAGAGUGGCAUCAAGGAAAACAGCUGCAUCCACCAUCUGUACAGCAGCUGCACUGCUUCUGAUGUCUUCCAACACGUGAAGACAAAAAAGAUCCUCACAUCUCCCCAGCCAACUGUUCCACUCCAGAAACUAUGCUUUCAACAUAACUAUGAAUCCUACCCGUUCAUUUUGUGGUCUGCAAAUUGAACUGUUACGGUAACUUAUCCAGCAUUAUAGUGCUGGUGCAUUGGUUAAAAAUAAAGUUGGCUUUGACUAUUGCUGUUUCACUGAACUAUUUUUGUAUGUAUAUACCUAAUGAGGGAAAACAGACAAAUGUUUUAUAAUAUUUCAGCUUUUAUUGAGGUAUUGCCAAAAAAACAAUAAUUUAGGUAUUUCACAGGUGGUCUAAGUCCAACAUAGGUGCCUUGUCCCUCAGGAAACACUGCCCUGAUCUAGACCAGGGAAGGUGGGAUGACAAAAGUCCACAGCACCAGCUAACAAGACUUCUAGGCUAGAUACCUGCAACAACUUGAGAUACACACAGACAUAGUACUGAAAAAAACAAUAACUGUAUUUCUAUUAGUUAUAUAUGAGCACAUGAUAUAUCAUACACCUUACUAAAAGCAAUUAAAAAAAUAUUAGGUCAAUAUAUAAUUAGAAACAAAACUAUGUUUGUAAACCAGAGUUCCCAGGUACAUUAUGAUUAAUCUGUAAAUAGUAAAAUGUUCUAAAGUUUAUGAAUUUCUGAGAUACUGAUUUAUUUCAUGCAUGUGUAAUUGUCUGAUAUACUGUAUAUUAAAUGUGUUCUGUAAUGAAUACACAUUCAAUCAUACUGGCUCCAGUCCUGGAUCAUCAACCAUACAGGUUUGGCAACUGGUUUAGGUGUCUUGAAGUAAGAUUUAUCGAAAUUUUAAUUUAUUAAUAAAGUAAUAAAGACAUGCAAUAUCUUGAAAGCAAUAGUUGCUGUCACACCACGCAUCUGUAGGCAUUCACUGUUCCUACAUUUGCUGUAUUAGUCUGUAAUUAAGUGCCAAAUAUAAGCUGCAGCUGAAGAUCCCAUUAUAGAAAAAUUAUUUUCACACAGCAGCAGAACAAGAAAGAAAAAAAUAUGUAAAAAUGAGUUUAUAUUAGUUUAUCAAGCUAUGCUCCCAAACACGCUGUAGUCGUGUUAUAAAUAUUCUGUUGUAUUAAUUCAGGCUGCUAAUUUGCAACCAUUAAUAUUAGCGUUAGCAGCUAAUCAAGUUGCGUAUUAUAUAAAUCAAUAAAUUAAAUUAAACGUGAAUCUGCCAAUUAGACGUACCUUGCGCCAGUCGAAGUGUAACCACUUCAACAGCCUCCCAUUCGACUUCAGAGUCAGAUUUUGGAUCAAACAUAUGGUUUAACUCCACUACGAGGACGAGUUAGCCAGUGUCGCUGUUGGAUUCAGUAACCGUGACGUUUGAUUUCCGCGGCGGAUCACGGCUUUGCGCUUCCUCAAAGGGGUGUGGCGAUCAGUUUAGGUUCCGACACACUCCGAAAAAAGAGCGUUGUGGAGGAGAGCUUAAAACACACAUUUUCAGACGGGCCGCGUGGGCGAUCUACAGCGCUUUUUGGCAUGAAAAGUUACAGACACCUUACUGAGACAUCAAGGUCCAAUUCUUUAGCAAUGUGGAGCAUGAAAAAAUCGUGUGCAUGGACCUUCAAAGGAACAGCAUUGGGAUGGUUUAAAUCCUAUUUGUUGAACAGAUUCCAGUUUGUUCAUGUUAAUGAGAACUUAUCCACAUGCACAAGGAUUAGCUAUGGAGUACCACAGGGUUCUGUGCUUGGUCCAAUUUUGUUUAGCCUAUACAUGUCUCCUCUAGAUGAGAUUAUUAGAAAGCAUUCUAAUAAUUUUCAUUGUUACGCAGAUGAUACUCAGCUAUAUAUGUCCUUGGAACCAAAUGAAACAGAUCAACUAGUCAAAAUUCAGGGUUGUUAAACGACAUCAAAUCCUGGAUGUCCCAAAACUUCUUUCAACUAAAUUCAGAUAAAACUGAAAUUCUUAUUGUUGGGCCUAAAAAUCUGAGAGACACUAUUGAGUCAGAUAGCCACCCUGGAUGACAUAACAUUAGCUUCAGAUUCUACUGUGAGGAAUCUUGGUGUCAUCUUUGGCCAGGAUCUCUCUUUUACAUCAUAUAUUAAAACAAAUCUCCAGAACCGCCAACUUUCAUCUUAGAAAUAUAGCUAAAAUCAGAAGCAUCCUCUCAGAGAAACUGAUUCAUGCAUUUGUUACCUCUAGGCUGGACUACUGUAACUGCUUACUCAUAGGAUGUCCUAACAGCUCCUUAAAAAGCCUACAGCUUAUUCAAAAUGCUGCAGCCAGAGUUCUGACAGGACUUAGAAAGAGAGAUCACAUUUCUCCUACAUUAGCUUCUCUGCACUGGCUGCCUGUAAAAUGUAGGAUAGAAUUUAAAAUUCUCCUACUCACAUACAAAGUACUCAAUGAUAAAGCUCCUUCUUAUCUUAAAGACCUCAUAGUUCCUUAUGCUCCCAGCAGAACGCUUUGUUCUCAGAGCGCUGGGCUACUUGUGGUUCCUAAAGUCUUUAAAUGUAGAACAGAACACAGGGCUUUUAGCUACCAAGCUCCUCUCCUCUGGAACCAGCUCCCUCUUCAGGUUCGAGAAGCUGACACACUCUCCACCUUUAAGAUUAGGCUUAAAACCUUCCUUUUUGAUAAAGCUUAUAGUUAGAGAUCAGGUCACUGGCAAUUAUUGUUAGUCACAGGAACCAUCUCUUAGUUAAGCUGCAAUAGACAUAGACUGCUGGGGGACUUAAUUUAUACACUGAGCUCCUCUGUUUCCCUCUACCUCUUCUGUCAAAUAACCUCCCAUCAUUGUUCUAUGUUCAACUAACCUUGUCUCUUUCUCUUCAGUAGUUGUGCUUCUCUCCCGCCCACUCUCUCUCUCACUCUCUCUCUCUCUGUCCUCCACUCUGUC